rnacentral:rRNA from 1 species
CCUACGGGAGGCAGCAGUGGGGAAUAUUGGGCAAUGGGUGAAAGCCUGACCCAGCAACGCCGCGUGAAGGAAGAAGGCUUUCGGGUUGUAAACUUCUUUUGACAGGGACGAGGAGAAGACGGUACCUGUCGAAUAAGCCACGGCCAACUACGUGCCAGCAGCCGCGGUAAUACGGAGGUGGCAAGCGUUGUCCGGAUUUACCGGGUGGAAAGGGCGUGUAGCCGGGCUGACAAGUCAGAUGUGAAAUCCGGGGGCUCAACCCCCGAACUGCAUUUGAAACUGUUGGUCUUGAGUAGCGGAGAGGCAGGCGGAAUUCCGAGUGUAGCGGUGAAAUGCGUAGAUAUUAGGAGGAACACCAGUGGCGAAGGCGGACUGCUGGACGACAACUGACGGUGAGGCGCGAAAGCGUGGGGAGCAAACAGGAUUAGAUACCCUUGUAGUC